CAUUGUGCCUGUGACCAACUUCUUUUCAAUCCCUCUCAAAGCAAAGGAGGGGAAAGGAUGUUUGGUCUUCAAUUUAUUCUCUUCUUAGCAGCCUUCAAAGGUAUCCAAUCACAGAUCCAGCUGGUGGAGUCUGGAGGAGAUUUAAAAAAGCCUGGGGAGUCCAUCCGCCUAACAUGUCAAGAGUCUGGGUUCUCUGGCUACUGGAUGGACUGGGUGAGACAAGCUCCUGGAAAGGGCCUGGAAUGGGUUGCACGUAUGCACCCAACCAGCUCAUCCAACAUUUACUACUCGGAUAAAGCGAAGGGACGAUUCACCAUUUCCAGGGACAAUUCAAAGAGUCAGAUGUAUUUGCAAAUGAACAGCCUGCAAGCUGAGGACACAGGGAUGUAUUAUUGUGCAAGAGACACAGUGAGGGGAAGUGAAUCUGAAGCAAGACAAAAACUCUCCUUUGCUUAUACCAGCUUCCAAAGCUGA